CGUCGCGCCAUUAACAUCUAUUCUUCUAUAACGUAUAGUAAAACGCGUUUAUUCGUUCAGAUUUUCGAUAAUCGAUUUUUUUAAUUGGUGCGUCGCACGUCCAGUGACAUAAUUCGUGAAUAGAACACACAUCAUAAGCAAAUAAAAAUACUCGAGGUGUUUGAUGAGGUGCAUUGAAUGUGCUCGUAAAAGAUAAAAAAAAAUAAA